rnacentral:rRNA from 1 species
AACGAACGCUGGCGGCAUGCCUAACACAUGCAAGUCGAACGAUACCUUCGGGUCUUUUCUCUUCUUGGUGCGUUUCGCGUCGGAACCUUCCCUCAUGUUCGGCCUACCUUCCCGCAAGGGGUGCUAAUUCCGGAUAAUAUCUACUGACCAAAGAUUUAUCGGGUCUGAUUGGGCUCGUGUUGGAUUAGCUAUUUGUUAGGUUAAAAGCCUACCUAGGGGAAGAUGCCUAGCUGGUCUGAGAGGAUGAUCAGGCACACUGGGACAGUGACACGGCGCAGACGCCUACGGAAGGGAGCAAUGGGGAAUAAUGAACAACGGGCGAAAGACUAAGCCAGCAAGGCCGCGUGAGUGAUGAAGGAGUUAGGGUUGUAAAGCUCUUUUACCAGGGAUGAUAAUGACAGUACCGGGAGAAUAAGCGCCGGCUAACUACGUG